rnacentral:rRNA from 1 species
UACGUAGGUGGCAAGCGUUGUCCGGAAUUAUUGGGCGUAAAGCGCGCGCAGGCGGUCCUUUAAGUCUGAUGUGAAAGCCCACGGCUCAACCGUGGAAGGUCAUUGGAAACUGGAGGACUUGAGUACAGAAGAGGAAAGCGGAAUUCCACGUGUAGCGGUGAAAUGCGUAGAGAUGUGGAGGAACACCAGUGGCGAAGGCGGCUUUCUGGUCUGUAACUGACGCUGAGGCGCGAAAGCGUGGGUAGCAAACAGG